UUGGAGGGCAAGUCUGGUGCCAGCAGCCGCGGUAAUUCCAGCUCCAAUAGCGUAUAUUAAAGUUGUUGCAGUUAAAAAGCUCGUAGUUGAAUUUCGGGGUUCUACCGUUGGUCGGGCUUUGUCUGUACUGGUGUGUAGAAUUUCUACCUUCUGGGGAACCAUCAUGCUAUUAAUUUAGCGUGGUGGGAAACCAGGACCUUUACCUUGAAAAAAUUAGUGUGUUCAAAGCAGGCUUAUGUCUGAAUACAUUAGCGUGGAAUAAUAGAAUAGGACGGUGGUCCUGUUUUGUUGGUUUCUGAAUCACCGUAAUGAUUAAUAGGGAUAGUUGGGGGCAUUAGUAUUCAAUUGUCAGAGGUGAAAUUCUUGGAUUUAUUGAAGACUAACUUCUGCGAAAGCAUUUGCCAAGGAUGUUUUCAUUAAUCAAGAACGAAAGUUAGGGGAUCGAAGACGAUCAGAUACCGUCGUAGUCUUAACCAUAAACUAUGCCGACUAGGGAUCGGGUGAUGUUAAUUUAUGACUCAUUCGGCGCCUUACGGGAAAC
rnacentral:rRNA from 1 species